CCCCAAUGGUAGAGGUAUUAACCAUUAACCAUGUCUUAAUAAUUAACUGGUAUUAAUCCAGUUCCAGAUGUCUCCAAAAGGGACCAGCUGCUGGACAAAUCUGAGCCUGUGAGUUUCACCUCUGUGGUAAAGUAUUUAAAAAAGGAUAAAAAUAUUGAACAGCAGCUUUGAGAGGAGGGAGAAAAUAUGGAGGGAAACAGUCAUGAAGACACCAAGCUCAGUGAAGAAGGAGGAAAAGAGAUGUUCCAGGCACCAGAGCAGGAUGUUCCCUGUGAGACUGUGAUGAAGUGUGAUGAAGAAGGUUUGAGCCCCUGCAGCCCAUGGUGUAUCAUAUCAUAUCAGAGCAGAGCAGAGCAGAGCAGAGAUCUACACUACAGUCUGUGGAGGACUCCAUGCCAGAGCAAGCACACCUGCUUUGAAGUAAACUUCAGUUUUUAGAGAUGAGCUCAUGCUGAAGCAGGGGAGGAGCAUUACAAGGAAGGAACAGUAGAGGCAAAGUGUUAUGAACUGACCACAACCCCAUUCCACUGUCCUUAUUCCCCUGAAUCAUGUAAGGCAGAAGACAUAGAAACCUCAAGAUUGAAGUUGAGCCUAAGAAGAAGAGGUGGACAGGAGAAGGAGUCACAGAAGGCUGGAACUUCUUCAAGAAGUCUGAUCUGCUUGGCUGACCAGAGAGCUUCAUUUGGAAUAGAGUGAUUAGCUCAGGAAGAAUGGGAAGGCAACAUACGAGGAAAAAUGUAGUGAUGGAAGACGAGAAUAAGGCUGAGUUACUUAAUUCUUUAUAUUCCUUCUUUCUUCAUUAGUAAUUCCAGUUGUUUCCAGGAUGUCUAGGCCCCUGAGUUGGAAGACAGUGACAGAGAGCAAGAUGAAGCACCUAUAAUCCAAUGGGAAACUUGGUGACCUCCUGCAUCAUCUGAAUGUUCAUAAGUCUAUGGGGCCAGACAGGAUUCAUCCAAAGGCUGCUGUCCUGUUUGUUGCCUGGGAGAAGAGGCCAAACCCCUCCUCAUCACAGCCUUCGUUCAGGAAAUUGGAGACUGCGGUCAUCAAUGAAGAUACUAAACAAGAUGGACACUAGUACCAAACCCUGGAGGACACCACUUGAAACAGGUUGCCAGCUGGACUUAACUCCAUUAACCACUACCUGUCGGGCAUGGCCCUCUAGCCAGUUCCUUCCCCAAAAAAGGGUAUACCUGUCCAGGCCACGGGCAGCCAGUUUUCCCAGGAGAAUGCUGUGAGAGAUUGUGUCAAAGGCUUGGCUGAAGUCUAGGUAGAGUCGAUCAACAGCUUUUCCCUCAUUUAUCAGUCUGGUCACCCAGUUGUAGAAGGAGAUGAGGUUGGUCAAGCAUGACCUGCCUUUUAUGAAGCCAUGCUGGCUGGGCCUGAUCCCCUGGACGCCAUGCACAUGCUGUGUGAUCUCACCCAAGACGAUUUGCUCCAUAACUUUCCCUGGUACUGAGGUCAGGCUGACAGGCCUGUAGUUCCCCAGAUCCUCCUUAAAGCCCUUCUUGUAGAUGGGAGUCACAUCAGCAAGCCUCUGGAACCUCUCCAGAUAACCAGGAGUGCUGGUAGAUGGCCAAGAGCAGCUCAGCAAUCAUCCCUGCCAGCUCCCUCAGCACCCGAGGGUGCAGCCCACCUGAUCCCAUGGACUUGUGACAGUCCAGAUGGAGGAGAAACUCUCUAACUGUCUCCACCUGAAUCACCAGGGGUGUAUUCUGUAUAGCAUCCCAGACUUCCAGAUCAGGGUGUAAAGUGCCCUGAGGAUAACUGAUCUGACUAUUAAAGGCAGAUGUAAAGAAAGCACUGAGGACCUCAGCCUCUCCUUAUCCUCAGAGGUCACAUUGCCCGCUGCAUCAAGUAAAGGAUGGAAAUUCUCCAAGGUUCUUCUGUUACAUCUAAUUUAUUUGUAGAAGUAUUUCUUAUUCUCUUUCACUGCAGUGGCCAAUCUGAGUUCAAGUCAGGCUUUUGCUUUCCUAACUUCCUAACUGCAUACCUCAGCAACUUCCUUGUUAUCUCCUCCCCAAGUUGCCUGUCCCUUCUUCCAGAGGACACAGACUCGGUUUUUUUUCCAGAGUCUCAACAAUAGUUCAUGGUUUAUCCACACCAGUCUUCUUCCCCUACGGCUCGCCUUAUGGCACUCAGGGAGUCCUGUUCUUGUGCCUUUAAGAUUUCCAUCUUGAGGAGCGUCCAGGCUUACUGGACCCCUUCACCCUUAAAGAGCAACUCCCAAGGGACCUGUGCUACAAGCGUCCUGAACAGGUCAGAGUCCGCCCUCUGGAAGUUAAAGAUAGCAGUUUUGCUAGUCACCCUUCUGACAUCUCCAAGAAUAGAGAACUCUACAGUUUCAUGGUCACUCUGCCCAAGACAGUCCCCAGCCUUCACAUCUCCCACCAGUCAUUCACUGUUUGUGAAGAGCUGGUCUAGCAGGGCACCACCCCUGGUAGGCUCUCAUACGAGCUGUGUAAGGAAGCUAUCUUCCACGCACUCUAGAAACCUCCUGGACUGCUUUCUCUGCACUGUAUUAUAUUUCCAACAUAUAUCAGGUAAGUUGAAGUCUCCCAAGAGAAUGAAUGCAGGCGAUUGCAUGACUUCACAAGCUGCUCAUAGAAUGCCUCAUCCAUCUCUUCAUCCUGAUGAGGUAGUCUGUAACAGACUCCCACCAAGAUGUCACCCCUACAGGCCUCCCCCCUGAUCCUUACCUGUAGACACUCAACUUCAUCAUUCCCAACCCCAAGCUCUUCAACAUCAAAACACUCUUCAAUAUAAAGGGCCAUACCACCACCCUUCCUUCCUCGUCUAUCCCUUCUGAAGAGCUUGUAGCCAUCCAACACAGCACUCCAGUCAUGGGAGUGGUCCCACCAUUUUUCAGUAAUAGCAACUAGGUCAUAGUUAGCCUGCUGCACAAUCGCUUCCAACUCCUCCUGCUUGUCGCCCAUGCUGCGUGCAUUGGUGUAGAUGCACUUGAGCCAAGUCAUCUGCCUCAUCCCCAUCUCAGGCAUUGUUCCCCCAGGCUCAUCUCUGGUUAACCCUGUUUUUUUCCCUUCCCCUGUCAUAGCUAGUUUAAAGCUCUUUUGAUAAGCCCCGCUAACUCCUGCCCUAGGAUUCAUUGUCCGCUUUGAGAUAGGUGGGUUCCAUGCAGAGACAACAGGCCAGGGGCCAAGUAAACUGACCCAUGAUCAAAGAACCCAACGUUUCUGCCUUGACACCAGCCUCUGAGCCAAUUAUUUAUUGCUUGUGCUUUCCAAGCCCACUCUGUGUCCCUCACUGCCCCUGAAGGUAUAAAGCUAAAGAUCACUUGAGCUCCCACUCCUUGAACUAAGCUCCCUAAACCCCUGCAAUCUCUCUUCAUAGUUUGUAGGCUUCUCAGAGCAAUUUCAUCACUGCCCACCUGAACUAUGAGUAAUGGAAAGGAAUCCGUGGACCUAACCUGCUGGGGGAGUUUCCUGGUUAUGUCUCUGACCCAGGCCCCUGGAAGGCAACACCCUUCCCAGUUGCGCAGGUCCAAUCUACAUAUGGGGCCCUCCAUUCCUCUGAGAAGGGAAUCUCCCAUCACAACCACAUUUCUUUCUCUCCUGACAGAGGCAGUCUCAAGGCGUGGGGGGUGACCACAUUGCCUUAGACUCCUUCCUAGGCAGAUCCUCCAUCACCUCCCUACUCCCCUCCCCUUCAAUUUCUAGAAUCUCAAACCUGCUGCUUAGAGGGAGCUGGGGACACAGGGUAGGCAGGCACAGGGGCCCCCGUGACACCAAGCCAGGACUCUCUUCCAGUUCUCCUCAUCAGACAGGUCUGUCUGACUGUGACAGGGCAGGAGGUCAACCACUUUUCUGGGGAUAUCUCCCUAGCACCCUUCCCUCCAGCAUACCAUCAAGUCACUCCACCAGUCAGUCUCCCGCUCACACUCCCUGAUGGUCCUUAAUCUUUGCACCUCCUCCUUGAGCUCCACGACCAGGCUGAGCAGCUCAUCCACCUGCUCACACCUCACAGAGGUGGAAUCCCUGCCACCCUCCCCAGGCAGCAGCAGGCUCAGGCACUCCUUGCAGCCAGAGACCUGAACAGCUACAUUUCUGGGCAGGCCCUCCAUCUGGGUCAGCACACUCUUCUUAGAAUAAGCCCACUGUCUGGUGAAGACCAUGUUUAGGCCUGCAGUCUCAGAGACUGUCAAGAGGAAAGCUGGUCUCCUGAGCAAGGAGGAACUAUACUUACAGUCCUCACCACUUGACCCACCUCCCACACCCACAGCUGCAGCACCAUAUGGGCAUUGUGGGCUGUGCUCACUCACUGAGCUUCCUCAUUCUCAGUGGGCAGCAACAAUGGUUAGUCACCCAGGGAGCUCUGUAGGCAGAAGCUAGCUUCCCAAAGUUAUUUAAAGCUUAUUAUCAGGUGCAAACAUUAAGGGCAGGUGUUUAAACUGUGCCACUAACAUGCUAGCUGCACCCCUUGUUGUCUCAGGAGCCUGCCCCAAAGCUGCUAGCUCCUCAGCACCAGCACAGCACUGUUACUGGCUUCAAAACAGCCUUAAAAAGAGGGUUUUUUUUGUUGGUCUUUUAUAUUUCAGCUUCCUUGUUCUGUGCAGUCUUACUUGCUUUGAGGCUAGUCCCUGCAGCAAAUUUUUGUAUGGUGUAACCAAAAUUUUAUAUACAUGAAAGUAAUUUGUAGCUUUUCUGUACAGAAAAAGUUAUUUAUGGGUUUAACGGGCAUGUAGUGAAACACACAGAAAUAUAGGCCUUGUGUGAAAGCAGAUACUUGAGAAAUGGGGACAUAAGAAGUAGGGUAGAGGACAGGGGAGCACAGAUGUGGGGUGAUUAGAGUCAGCACAAGCUGACUCUGAAAACCCUUUAGCUCUGAACCCUCCAGCAGUCACUUAAAGAAAUGCAUGUCUGGAUCCGAACAAAACUGGCUUCAGUGGUAAUACAGAACAAGGAGCAAGUAUAUAAUUAUGUAAAAUCCAUCAUAUACAGUAAGCGUACAUGAUAUAAAAAGAUUCAUUACAGAAUUGCAGACAAGUGAAGAAAAAGCAAACUAUAAAUUAUGUGUUAACAAGCAUACAGAAAGUGGACCCUAGAGUGAGGAAGCUGAAAACAUAAACAUGAAGGUCCUCCUGGUGGAAUACUUAGAAUGUUGCUUGACUUCUUGUGUUCCACCAAAGUACACUGUUAUCAUUACACAAGGAGAAGAAAAGAGGAACAGUACACCAACAGAAGAACUAGAAGCUAGGAAGUGUGCAUAUAGUAAUUUUAACUGUAUUGCUAUUAUGAAUGUGUUAUUAUUAAUAUAUUUUCUGUAUAAUUGGAUUUGCUUUUUUCAUGUAACAUUUAGAUCUGGACUAAUAGUAAUCCUGUAAUAAGACUGUUAAGAUUUCAGUUAUACAACCUCUUGGCUUUUUAUAUGUUUCCUCUUUUGUUCAUAACAAGAUUUUAAGCAACAGAAUGCUCUCCAGGGCUUGAGCACAGGCAAGUAAAUUGGAAGGUCAUGGGACUUCUUUCUGGGAGUGCUGUGGUGAGUGAUGAGAAAUGGUAAUACCUAUGGAGAGGUGACAUCUGAUAGGUGAUGAGAACUGGUUGCCCUGCUGAGACUUAAAAGCACUGUGCAUAAGAGACAAAGAAACAAUUACCGUCUCUGGUUAAUUAACAAUGCAGCUGCAAAAAUAAAUAAAUAAAUAAAUAAAUGUUGAGGUGGGGGGGGGAAGUGGUUGUUAAAUGCUAUUGCAUCCAUAAAUGGCUUCCUUGAACAUAAUGCAGUGGAGAAUCUGAAUGGCAUGUUUUUUACUUUUUCAAAGGCAAAUUCCUUAGGAAAAAGGAUUUGUCUUUUUAAAGCUAUUUGAUCACAUUCAAAUCCUCUCUUCUUGGUACAACAUGUUACCUUUUUGUUAUGAAUUUAGGGAGUACAUUUUAAUAGCUCAAUGUGAAGUUCAUAAGAGGAUCAAAUGCCUAAAUAUUAUUUUUAAUGCUCUUCAGCUCAUUUCCUUUUUUCCUGCUGAUAUUGCUAAAAAGUCUGCCAAGAACGCACUGGCAAAUUGUAAGUACUCAAAUAAUGAACAUCUCAUCCAAUGUUUUGUGGAUAAUUAGGGGAUUACAUGUCAUCAAGACUAAGGCCACCUUUUAUUAACCAUAAAUUUUUCACUUGUGUAGACUUUUAUUACUUCAGGUUCCUAUUAUUUUUAAAGUUUUUAAAAGCAUAUAAAUAUUGCUAACUUUUAACAUUUGGUGCUCCAAUAUGAGCAUAACACAACCUUACAUCAGAUCCGUCCAAAAUUAUUUCUUAUCAUUUAUUAUCAAUGGUUUAGUUCCAUCAACAUGGAUACAGCUGAUAGUUGGCUGCUCACUUCCAGUGGUUGGUUUACUUCCUAUUCCAGUAGAAAUAAGAAAAAAAUUACAAAGAGAUACAUUAAGUGAAUUAUUUACUAGAAAAGUAUGGAAAAAUAAAAAGUAUGGAAAAGUAUGGAAAAUAAAAAGAUCUUGAGGGAUCUUGAGGGAUAUUGUACAGACAAAGAAUAAAAUCAGGAAGCUUAAUUUUAGGAAAGCCAAAUUCCAGCUCUCCAGGGAGUUAGUCAACAAAACCCCCUGGAAAUCUGUCCUCGAAGUCAAGUGUGAAGAGCAGAGUUGGCAGAUCUUUGAGGAAGCUUUCCUUAGGGUCCAAGAGUUCUCCAUCCCCAGAUGGACGAAGUCAGGAAAGGAAGGCAAGAGACUGGCAUGACUGAACUGGGACCUGCUCAUCAAACUGGAAAGCAAGAAAAUGCACAGGUAGUGGAAGCAGGGACAGGUAACCUGGGAUGAGUAUAGAGAUGCUACUAGGCUGUGUAGAGAUGGGGUCAGGAAGGCCAAGGCCCAACUGGAACGGGACUUGGCAAGGGGAGCAUAUGAUAAGAAAGUCUUCCGUAGGUUCAUCAACUGUAAAAGGAAAGUCCAGGAGGGUGUACAUUCCCUAAUGGGCAACACAGGCAGGCUAGUAACAGAAGACAAGGAGAAGGCUGAGUUAUUCAAUAACUUUUUUGCCUCAGUCUUCACUGGUGACUGCUCUACAUACAGCCUUUGAGCAGACGGCUCAGAAGGUGAGAACUGGGGGAGUGAUGCCCCUCCCGCUGUAAGCAAAGAUCAAUAUCAUGACUGCCAGAGGAACCUGAACAUCCAUAAGUCCAUGGAUCCCAAUGAGAUGCACCAAGAGUCCUGAGGGAAUUGGCUGGCAUAGUCACCAAGCCACUUUCAAUGAUAUUUGAAAAGUAAUAGUGAUCAGGUGAAGUCCCUGGUGUCUGGAAAAAAAGCAAUGUCACAUCCAUUUUUAAGAAGGGUAGAAAAGACCCAGGGAACUGCCAACCUGUCAGCCACACUUCUGUACCAAGGAAGAUCAUGGAGCAUUUAUUCCCGGAAGCUGUACUAAGACAUACAAAAGAGAGGGACCUAAUAUAGGAUAACCAGCAUGCCUUCACUGCCUGACCAACUUGUCACUUUUUAUGAUGGCUUAACUGCAUCAGUGGACAAGGGAGGAGCCAUUGAUGUCAUAUAUCUGGACUUCAGUAAGGCCUCUGACAUGGUCCCUCAUAACAUUCUUCUCUCCAAAUUGGAAAAAUACGGAUUUGAUGGGUGGACAGUUCAAUGCACAAGGAACUGGUUGCAAGAUCAUACCCAGAGAGUAGUGGAAAAUAGCUCAGUGUCUGAAUGGAGAUCAGUGAUGAGUGGUGUCCCUCACAGGUCAGUCAGUACUGGGGCAAAUUCUCUUUAACAUCUGCAUCAGUGACACUGACCAUGCAAUUAACCCGCAGCAAAUUUGCAGAUAACAGUAAGCUGUGUGGUGUGGUUGACACUCCUGGAGGAUAGGAUACCAUCCAUAAAGACCUAGAUAGGCUCAAGAAGUGGGCUCAGGAUAACCUCAUGAGGCUUAAUAAGAACUCCAAGAUUUUUCACCUAGGUUAUGGCAACUCCUUUUGUCAGUACAAGUUGGAGGAACGUAAGGAUGAAGAGCAGCACUGCCAGAAAGGACAUGGGGAUACUGGUGGAUGGGAAGCUGAACACGAGCCAGCAAUGUGCCCUCACAGCCCAGAAAGCAAACCAUAUCCUGGGCUGCAGCAAAAGCAGCAUGGUAAGCAGGUUGAGGAAAGUGACUCUGUCCAUCUCUCUGCACUGGUGAGACCUCACCUAGAGUACUGCAUCCAGAUAUGGAGUCCUCAGUACAGAAGAGAUGUGAACCUGUUAUAGCACAUCCAGAAGAGGGCCACAAAAAUGAUCUAAGGAUGGAACAUCUCCCCUGUGAGGGCAGGCUGAGAGAGCUGGGGCUGUUCAGCCUGGAGAAGGCUCCAGGGAGACCUAAUAGCAGCCUUUCAGGAUCUAAAGGGGAAGCUGUAAGAAAGAAGUGGACAGACUCUUUAGCAAAGUCUGUGGUGACAGAACAAAGGGAAAUGGUUUCAAAUGAAAAGAGGGGAGAUUUAGAUUGGAUAUAAGGAAGAAGUUUUUUUUUUUUUUUACAAUAAGAGAGGUGAGGAGCAAGGAAAAAGAGCAACAAAAAAGGUGAAAGGUCUAGAGGGAACGAUGUAGGAGGAUCAGCCUGCAUUCAGUUUGUUCAGCCCAGAGCAGAGCAGCUGAGGGGAGGCCUCAUGGUGGCUGCAGCUCCUCACAGGGCAUGGAGGGGCAGUGCUGAGCUCUGCUCUGUGGCGACAGCGGUAGGGCCCGAGGGAGCAGCAUGGAGCUGUGUCAGGGAAGGGUCAGGUCGGGAACUAGGAACUGGUUCUCCACUGAGAGGGUGGUCUGGCACUGCAACAGGCUCCCCAGGGAAGCGGUCAUGGCACCAAGCCUGCUGGAGCUCAAGAAGCAUUUGGACAGCACUCUCAGACAUAUGGUUUAACUUUUAGGUAGUCUUGUGUGGAGCCAGGAAUUGGACUUGAUGAUCCUUGUGGGUCCCUUCCAACUUGGGAUCUUUUGUGACUCUGUGAUUCACAAACUGCAGUCAGUGUUUUCAGGGUAACAAGGAGGGUAGAAAAGGGGAGUAAAGUAAGAAUUUUAAGGAAAAGGAUGGUGAAAAUAUCAAGUAGGCGAAGCCCAAGCACAGUAGCAUAAGCACAGAAAUCAACUGAGGAAUAACAAUUAUUUGGAGCUCCUUUAUGACCUGUAACAUUUAGGAUCAAAACUGUCUUUACUUUCCUGGGGUGGAGAGUAACAAUUGUGCCUAGAAAGUCACAUAACUUACCUCUGUGAAUCAUAGAAUUACUCAGGUUGGAAAGGACCUCAGAGAUCAUCAAGUCCAACCGCAGCCUAACCAUAGUACCCUAACUCUAACAACCCCCUGCUGAAUCAUAUCUCUGAGCAUCACAUCCAAACGGCUCUUAAACACAUCCAGGAAUGGUGACUCAACCACCUCCCUGGGGAGCCUAUUCCAGUGUUUAACCACCCUUUCUGUAAAGAAGUGUUUCCUAACGUCCAGCCUAAACUUACCUUGGAGCAACUUGAGGCCAUUUCCCCUUGUCUUGUCACCUGUCACCAGUGAGGAGAGACCUACCCCGCUCUCACUGUAAGCACCUUUCAGGUACUUGAAGAGAGUAAUCAGGUCUCCCCUCAGCCUCCUUUUCCCCAGACUAAACAGCCCCAGCUCCAUCAGCCUCUCCUCAUAGGGCUGAUUUUCCAAGCCCUUCACUAGUCUCAUUGCCUUUCUCUGGACCUACUCCAGUACCUCCAUGUCCUUCUUGUACUGAGAUGCCCAAAACUGAACACAGUCCUCAAGGUGAGGCCUCACCAAUGCCGAGUACAGGGGCAGGAUGACUUUCCUAGUCCUGCUCACCAUACCAUUCCUGAUACAAGCCAGGAUGCCAUUGGCCUUCUUGGCCACCUGGGCACACUGCUGGCUCAUAUUCAGCCGACUGUCCAACAGUACACCAAGGUCCCUUUCCAUCAGGCAGCUUUCCAGCCACACCUCCCCAAGCCUGUAGGGUUGCCUGGGGUUCUUGUGACCAAAAUGCAGGACCCGACACUUGGCCCUUUUGAAACUCAUGCCGUUAACCUUGGCCAUCGAUCCAGUCUAUCCAGAGCCCUCUGUAAUGCCCUUCUCCCCUCAGGCAGAUCAACACUCCCUCCC
ensembl:lncRNA